CCUAUUAAUGCAUGUUAUGAAAAUGAUGGGUUUGCAUGUCAAAUUACCCAAAAUGUGAGCUAGUGGCCGGCCAUGCUAUGAGUGGAAACAUGUUGGGAACAUGUUGGCUUAGUGAGGUAUGUUAGAAAAAAAUAAAAUAGGGAGUAUGGGUAAUAAAGAAAUGAAAACAAAAAAAUGUGUGGUUGUUUCCCCCCCAUGGCCGUGAG
rnacentral:lncRNA from 1 species